rnacentral:rRNA from 1 species
UACCAGCUCUCCGAGUGGUAGGGAUGAUUAUUGGGCUUAAAGCGUCCGUAGCCGGCUUAGCAAGUCUCCUGUUAAAUUCAGCGACCUAAUCGUUGAGCCGCGGGAGAUACUACUAGGCUAGGAGGCGGGAGAGGUCAACGGUACUUCCGGGGUAGGGGUGAAAUCCUAUAAUCCCGGGAGGACCACCAGUGGCGAAGGCUGUUGACUAGAACGCGCUCGACGGUGAGGGACGAAAGCUGGGGAGCGAACCGGAUUAGAUACCCGGGUAGUCCCAGCUGUAAACGAUGCGAGCUAGGUGUUGGGGUGGCUACGUGCCACUUCAGUGCCGCAGGGAAGCCAUUAAGCUCGCCGCCUGGGGAGUACGGCCGCAAGGCUGAAACUUAAAGGAAUUGGCGGGGGAGCACCACAAGGCGUGAAGCUUGCGGUUC